GUGACAGUCGGGUAAAACCUCUCUCUGCUUUAAUCACACCUCACUAACACACCGUGUCUUUCAUUGCUUUUUUUAAAGUCUGAAUUUGUUUGCUUUUUGUUUUUCUGUUUGAAACACUUGUCUUUGAGCUGUGUCGUGAUCCUUGGAGAGGAGGAUAUUUACGCAUGGUGCGCAGCAUUUCUCCGAUCCACCGGCCACACGCAUUCCAUUGAUAAUUCUCCCACCAGCACACACAAAAAAGAGCAUAGCCUGGCUGCUAAUAUUAGCCAUUGCAUUGGCCAGAAGACCUCAGACCAAGAAAUAAAAACUGGAAUAACUUCUUCACUAUGCAUUUACAACACACUACAAGGCUUUCCUGUCUGUAUUUAACAAUCUCCAACAGCACGUCAUGCUGAUCACCAUAACGGACCCGGUCCUGAUCACAGCCUCGGGUGUUUAUGAGAUGGACAUGGGAUGAGAAAAACAAGAGGGAAUGAGGGAACGCCUUUCCUCGAAGGAACACCUCUUAAGGUUUUAAUGUCGGGUUAAGAAAAUGGACAAUCCUGGCCCGAGGGUGUUUUUAACAGGAAUGUGCUCUCAAGAUAUUUACAAAACUAUGUUUGCUUAAUUUGGAUAAGUGAUGUCUAGCUUGUGUGCUUCUUGAAUCAUGUUUGUGUCUUUGUAUUUCCAUUUAGGUGGACUUCCAAAGAAAGCGCCGUGGAGCGAUGCUGAUCGAGGUAGAGUCGAUUCAGAUGAAAUGAUCUCAUUCUGUAUUGCUCACAUAGCUGUUUAUUAAUAUAGCUAUAUAUAACAAAUAACAGACUAGCUCAUAUAGAUUGAUGUACUGUCAUUAUCAGAUAUGAAUUAUUUGAAAUAAAAGAAAAAAAAAAGUGUACCCUAAAUUAAG